CCUACGGGAGGCUGCAGUGGGGAAUAUUGGACAAUGGGGGGAACCCUGAUCCAGCCAUGCCGCGUGUGUGAAGAAGGCCCUCGGGUUGUAAAGCACUUUCAGUGAGGAAGAACGCCUGGUGGUUAAUACCCAUCAGGAAAGACAUCACUCACAGAAGAAGCACCGGCUAACUCCGUGCCAGCAGCCGCGGUAAUACGGAGGGUGCGAGCGUUAAUCGGAAUUACUGGGCGUAAAGCGCGCGUAGGUGGCUUGAUAAGCCGGUUGUGAAAGCCCCGGGCUCAACCUGGGAACGGCAUCCGGAACUGUCAAGCUAGAGUGCAGGAGAGGAAGGUAGAAUUCCCGGUGUAGCGGUGAAAUGCGUAGAGAUCGGGAGGAAUACCAGUGGCGAAGGCGGCCUUCUGGGCUGACACUGACACUGAGGUGCGAAAGCGUGGGUAGCAAACAGGAUUAGAUACCCGGGUAGUC
rnacentral:rRNA from 1 species